rnacentral:rRNA from 1 species
GACGAACGCUGGCGGCGUGCCUAAUACAUGCAAGUCGAGCGGAGCGGCGGACGGGUGAGUAAUGCCUAGGAAUCUGCCUGGUAGUGGGGGAUAACGUCCGGCAACGGGCGCUAAUACCGCAUCCUAUCAGAUGAGCCUAGGUCGGAUUCGCUAGUUGGUGGGGUAAAGGCCUACCAAGGCGACGAUCCGUAACUGGUCUGAGAGGAUGAUCAGUCACACUGGAAGUGAGACACGUGCCAGACUCCUACGGGAGGCAGCAGUGGGGAAUAUUGGGCAAUGGGCGAAAGCCUGAUGCAGCCAUGCCGCGUGUGUGAAGAAGGUCUUCGGAUUGUAAAGCACUUUAAGUUGGGAGGCGUUACCAGCAGAAUAAGCACCGGCUAACUUCGUGCCAGCCGCCGCGGUAAUAC